UUUUCGUCAUUAGCUAGGUUCGUGCUUCGUUGUUUGCGUGUUCAUACGUUUUAUGGUUGAUGGUAUGAGCUUCUUUCUCUGGCCGGUUGGAUUACAUAUGUUCCUAAUUGGCUCGUUCAAUUGAAGCGAGAUAGCCUCAACUUACACGCUGGUCUGCUGCCAACCUAGCUCCAAGCCAUCUUUGUUCAAGGCAUUUGCAUUUUGGUGGGUCGGCUUUAUUGUUUUUUCUUGUCAUGUAGUUUGUGAAUUGGAUUGUGUAGAUCAUGCUGCACGAAAUUAUUUCUUCCUUGAUGGGUUGCGCUCACUGAAGCGAGUUCAUCUUAAAACCAGUCAUAGCUAAUGCUGGGCUAUGUAGUAUACUAUGCUUUCGUCUGUGGUUAUCUGUCAAUGAUGACUCUUCGUAGGCUUGUCCCGAUCUCUCAGAGAUGACGAAGCACUUAAAUGUGAAGAGACUGAGGCAAUGAUCCUUAUUGUACCUUAAUGACCCGAACACAUUACCAUUAUAGACUGAGGCAAUGAUCCUUAUUGUACCUUAAGGCUAUUUUGCCUUAUGUUUGAUCUGCUCUGGAAAUUUUACUGAAAUCUUUGACAAUGUGCGAAUUUGAUGUUGUGUUUUUCGAAG